CCUACGGGUGGCAGCAGUGAGGAAUAUUGGUCAAUGGACGAGAGUCUGAACCAGCCAAGUAGCGUGAAGGAUGACUGCCCUAUGGGUUGUAAACUUCUUUUAUAUGGGAAUAAAACGUUCCACGUGUGGGAUUUUGUAUGUACCAUAUGAAUAAGGAUCGGCUAACUCCGUGCCAGCAGCCGCGGUAAUACGGAGGAUCCGAGCGUUAUCCGGAUUUAUUGGGUUUAAAGGGAGCGUAGGUGGAUUGUUAAGUCAGUUGUGAAAGUUUGCGGCUCAACAGUAAAAUUGCAGUUGAAACUGGCAGUCUUGAGUACAGUAGAGGUGGGCGGAAUUCGUGGUGUAGCGGUGAAAUGCUUAGAUAUCACGAAGAACUCCGAUUGCGAAGGCAGUUCACUGGACUGCAACUGACACUGAGGCUCGAAAGUGUGGGUAUCAAACAGGAUUAGAUACCCUUGUAGUC
rnacentral:rRNA from 1 species